rnacentral:rRNA from 1 species
CCUACGGGAGGCAGCAGCGAGGAAUAUUGGUCAAUGGGCUUACGCCUGAACCAGCCAAGUCGCGUGAGGGAAGACUGCCCUCUGGGUUGUACACCUCUUCUGUAAGGGAGCAAUUGGCGCUACGUGUAUCGUUAUCGACAGUACCUGAAGAAAAAGCAUCGGCUAAGUCCGUGCCAGCAGCCGCCGUAAUACUGAGGAUGCCAGCGUUCUCCGGAUUUAUGGGGGUUAAAGGGUGCGUAGGCGGAAUGCCAAGUCAGCGGCAAAAUCGCGGGGCUAAACCUUGCUCCGCCGUUGAAACUGGCGUUCUUGAGUGGGCGAGAAGUAGGCGGAAUGCGUGGUGUAGCGGUGAAAUGCAUAGAUAUCACGCAGAACUCCGAUUGCGAAGGCAGCAUACCGGCGCCCAACUGACGCUGAAGCACGAAAGCGUGGGUAUCGAACAGGAUUAGAUACCCGAGUAGUC